rfam:Haloterrigena limicola JCM 13563 contig_21, whole genome shotgun sequence.
GCCAGGGGAGCAUGGGCGGUUCAUGCACUCGACUUGUAAUCGAGACUUCCGGGGUUCAAAUCCCCGCCCUGGCU